rnacentral:rRNA from 1 species
UACGGAGGGUGCAAGCGUUGCUCGGAAUUAUUGGGCGUAAAGAGCGCGUAGGCGGUCCGGUAAGUCGGUUGUGAAAGUCGGGGGCUCAACCCUCGGAUGCCGAUCGAUACUGUCGGGCUAGAGUCCGGAAGAGGCGAGUGGAAUUCCUGGUGUAGCGGUGAAAUGCGCAGAUAUCAGGAGGAACACCAAUGGCGAAGGCAGCUCGCUGGGACGGUACUGACGCUGAGGCGCGAAAGCGUGGGGAGCGAACAGG